UCUGAAGCAAAAAAUUUGUGCUAAUUUUAGGGGUUCUACGGUGAGGUUUUAGGUUAUAUUCUUCGGGAUUUAAUUUUUGUGAGGCAUUAUGUUCCAGCCUUUUGUAUGUAAUAAAGAGGUUAUCCUCGAUUUUGUUACAUUACAGAGUUUUAUUGGCCAUUCACAAAAUGGGAUGAAUUCUCUGGAGAGACGUGUAGAUGGUCUAGAGAAAGCUCUUGAUAUGAUAUGCAAUGCUCUGGCAAUAUCAACAGGAAAGAUUGCAGACACUGAUGCUACAGGAAAUACAUGCUGCCUGGUGCAGAAUUCUUGAGUCCUAAGUUCUGGAGGAAAAGUGAAGCACAGAAUUUCAGUUGAAAGAUUUCUUUUUCAAACCAAUACCAGUCACUUAAUUAUAUGCCGAACAAAUAUGUAAAUUCUGAAUCAUCAAAACUGGAGAGUCCAAUAGAGAAGCAUCAAAUAGGGAGUGUUCCUGGUGUGGACUUCAUGGGAGAUGCUCAAGCAGGCUCUAGGGAAACUCCGGAUUCCUACUCAAAAAGAAGGUUAAAUAGGUUACUCAAAGAUGCUGAUGCGGUAAAAAGUUGCUAUGGUGGCCUUGAUAUAGCAUCAGGUGCUACUUGUGUACGAAAGGAGACUUAAAUAGCUGUUUUUCUGAAUAGGUCAUGAGGAACAUGGAAAAGUCACCAUGCUUUACCCUUGCAUUGGAACUUGUGGUUAUUUCCUCAGCCAGCUAUUUUAUACUGUUUUGGACAACAUUUUAUGGCCAUGUGGGUGAAAUUCCAUCUUGGGGCCUUCUUUCUUGGAUUUGGAUCAAUAUAUUUUUAAUGUGAAUAGAAUAGAUAUCAAAAGUUUGAUUAAACAAGUAGUAGCAAAAAACUCAGUAAUUCAUGUAAUUUUUGUGAAUAUUAAAUAGGAGCAGCCCUGAAACAAAAUUUAAGACCAAUUUUUAAGACAAGUAUUUUUUAUUGUCUUUCACUUUGAUUGACCACAUUGAUUGACACUAUUGGCUUCAGGUAUGUCUUCAUUUUUUCUGGUAUUUUUUGGUGAUUUUUCCUUGGGCUGACAUUGGCAAGAAAAGCAGCUAUGCGAAAGAAGAAGAAUGAACAGCAACUGAUGGUAGGUUUUUUUUUAAACUAUUUCCUAUUUUUUCUUGCAUAGAUGUUUGUUGCUGUCGUGGCUCAUGAAUGGCAUUGUUUUGGGUUCUCUGAGUUUUUUGGAAUUAUAGAAAUAAAGCACUUUUCAUCUUUGUUUGUACAAUCUCUGUUUUUUAGGUCUCAAAAGUGUUUUUUUUUGCUUUUCUCUGUUUUAUCUUCUGCUGCAAUUUUUUUUGGUGAAUAUGUGGUGAACUGUGAUAGAAAUAAAGCAUUUAGAAUUAUAGAAAUAAUGCUCUUUUUAUGCAGCGAAAGCGAACUGUGAUAGUUUGACAAAUGGAAAGAAUGAAAUUAGGCUCUUUUCUCAGUAUUUUUAUUUUGUUUUGGUUUAGCUCACAUGUUUUAAAAUUGAUUAUUUUGCACCUUCCGGUAUAUUAUCAGAUGUAAGUCAAUCCUUCAGAAAGACAAGGAUUGGUGGCUUCAUGUUAUCUUGGUGUUUUUGUCACAUUUUUAGAAAAGCUUUUUUUUUUUUAAAUGAUUCGCAUUUAGAAAAGACAUCUCAUCUAUUUUCGCAGACCUUUUCUUACCCUUUUUCUAAUUAUUGUAUAAAAUUUAAAUCAUGGUUCUUUAUCUUAAUUAUUGCUAGAAACUUAGUUUGACCAGCUUUGUUGCGUCUAACUUGCAUGGAAGAAUGCUCAUGUGCUACAUCAAACCUUUCUGUCCCAAGUUUAGGGCACAUAUAGAAGUUGCCUUCUCUAUAAUGAAUUCUCACAUUUGGUUGAAAUUUUCGGCAUUGACAAUGCGAACUUCAAUAGCCUUAAUAUUCAGAACUGAUAAUAAUAAAGAAUGCAGGGUAUGCAAUCAAUAUAGAGACGUCCAAGGAGCUUUACAGACACUUGAAAUCAUUCCUUGUUAAUCCUCUCCCACCGUUUAACAAACAAAUAAAUGGCAGCAGCCGCAAGAAUGAUCGAGAGAAUGCUGCAAAUAAGAUUGGUAGAUAUCGAUACAGCUUAGCCUAUUCCUCUUUGAGUAGUUAUUGGAGCCUUGAAGGCUGAUUUUGUUCCAAUCUUGACACUAAGUUCUUUCGUCCUUUUUAUAUUUUUAGCAAAUUGGAUUAUGUACUUUGAAUGUAAUUUAUAUUCUAUAAUGUGUUUCCUAAGUCAUGGUAUUUAAUAAACAUUUGGGAAGACCAUUUUAA